rnacentral:misc_RNA from 1 species
AAAAUAAAAUUAAGCCGCUGUUGCGCUGUGCUUAUGUACGAGGCUAAUUAGAAUACUUCCUAUGAUAUACAUUGCCACAUUAAGAUUCAAGUACUUCCCAAUCAGCUAGAACCUCGGCGGUGUAGCCAGCUACGCGCGUUAAAGCCCAGAACUGAAAGCGACGCGUGGUGUGUGGCGAGUUCGAAUCCUCGGUACCUCAGGAAAGAAACGGAUAAUGAUAAAAGAACAACAUACAGUUUUUCUGAAAAGAAAAAUAUGCAACAGGCAAGUGACAGCCCCGCUCUUGCAGUAUUGUUGUAGGUGCACGUAUCUUCUGGGAGUGCACCUUAGUAAAGUGUGCUUGAUGAUGUUAGGCACCCAGGGGCCGGAGGAAACUCGCGCACUGACUAAUGAUCCCCCGCCCGUGGAGGUUUUAGCCGGUAAGAAUCCGGCACUACCUUAUGCCCCACCACUUUGAAUGGGUAUUAAGGUGUUUAUGAAGAUUUCCUCCACGAAAAAAAAAAAAAAAAAAAAUUUUUUUGUGACAUGAGAGGAGAAACUAAUAUUUUAUUGACCCGCGCCAUUUCAGUCAAUAUCUCACGAUUAUGUUGUUAUUAUUACAUUAUAUGUUGUAUAUUAUAUAUUAUAUAUUGUUAUUAUUAUAUUAUAUUAUUAUAUAGUUAUUAUUAUAGGGGUUAACCCUGGAGUGCUGAAUACUUGCGGCCUAUGCCGUCCGUACGGACGGCGCGCGUCUGGCGCUGACGAUCGCUGUGGACGGAAUACUUUUUCAUUAGACUGAACUCUGUUGAUUGACUAUUCAAAGCGCAAAUCGUAAUAA